rnacentral:misc_RNA from 1 species
UCUCCGUUGGUGAACCAGCGGAGGGAUCAUUACCGAGUUUUCUACUCCCAAACCCCUGUGAACUUAUACCUUUACCGUUGCUUCGGCGGGUUAACGCCCCGGAAAGGCCCCCGAAAGGGAGCCGCCCCGGAACCAGGCGCCCGCCGGGGGACCCAAACUCUUGUACUUUCUUACCUAGCAUGUCUGAGUGGAAUCAUAAACAAAUCAAUCAAAACUUUCAACAACGGAUCUCUUGGUUCUG